rnacentral:rRNA from 1 species
AUUGAACGCUGGCGGCAGGCCUAACACAUGCAAGUCGAGCGGAUGAAGGGAGCUUGCUCCUGGAUUCAGCGGCGGACGGGUGAGUAAUGCCUAGGAAUCUGCCUGGUAUUUGGGGAUAACGUCCGGAAACGGGCGCUAAUACCGCAUACGUCCUGAUGUAGAAAGUGGGGGAUCUUCGGACCUCACGCUAUCAGAUGAGCCUAGGUCGGAUUAGCUAGUUGGUGGGGUAAAGGCCUACCAAGGCGACGAUCCGUAACUGGUCUGAGAGGAUGAUCAGUCACACUGGAACUGAGACACGGUCCAGACUCCUACGGGAGGCAGCAGUGGGGAAUAUUGGACAAUGGGCGAAAGCCUGAUCCAGCCAUGCCGCGUGUGUGAAGAAGGUCUUCGGAUUGUAAAGCACUUUAAGUUGGGAGGAAGGGCAGUAAGUUAAUACCUUGCUGUUUUGACGUUACCAACAGAAUAAGCACCGGCUAACUUCGUG